rnacentral:misc_RNA from 1 species
UGUAGAUUGUUGUCAGAGUUGCAAAUCAUUCUACGAUGCCUCGAAAGGGCGCGUGAUUUUCGUUUUCUUUUCGAUUCUACGUACGUAGAUACUACAUGGGUAUGAUCAACGAUAGGUAUGGUUUUGUAAUUUAAUCUUACCAACCUCGAGGCGAUCCCACUAUCGAGCGGCUUGCGCAAAAAAUAUCAAAUGACAUAUGUAAAUUAUGCAAUGCAACAAUGUUAUUAUAGCGUGAGAUUUAUUUUUCGUUUGAUGAAUGCGCGAACUGAUUAGGAGGUAAUUGGAAUGGCCGGUACGCUGCUGGCUUAUUUGUUCAUGAGGUUGGUUUUAAUGAUGACUGAAAACUCGGUGAUUCUGCACGCUUUACUUACCAGCAUCGAGAAUACGUUGCUUGACAGAAUGUUGCCUUCCGUGCCAGAAUUGCCACGCCUUAAUCUCGUCUUCUGGGCUCUUCUCUUCUCGGAACAUCAACAUUACCACGCUCUGCGCGACAAAACAUCAAGAAAACACUCAACGGGUUAAACAACUUUUUCGCCGUUACAUUUUACUAACUCCUGUAAUACCUGUUUCUUUAUUACGACUACUCUGAGGAUAGAAUUUAAGGGUUAGGAUAAAGUAGGCAUCUUUUUUCAAUGACUAUUUUCACAUGUUUCUUUUUCUUCGUUUUAGAUAAAUUUAGUUUAUAAUUCUAUCUAUUAUCGUGUUCCGCAAUCCCAUUUGACAGGCUCGAAUAGUGCGAGGCGAAAUCACUGAUCUGUUUACAACCAACACUUGAUAUCUAGAGAUCUAAAUAGGCACGGAACUGGCGGUAAUAAUAAUCAGGUGUGAGCGGACUCACAUUAAGACAGAAGGUGAUCGUUAUAGACGCUUGG